rnacentral:rRNA from 1 species
UACAGAGGGUGCAAGCGUUAAUCGGAGUUACUGGGCGUAAAGGGCGCGUAGGCGGCCAUGUAAGUUAGAUGUGAAAUCCCUGGGGUUAACCUAGGAACUGCAUUUAAGACUGCGUGGCUGGAGUACAGUAGAGGGCAGUGGAAUUUCCGGUGUAGCGGUGAAAUGCGUAGAGAUCGGAAGGAACACCAGUGGCGAAGGCGGCUGCCUGGACUGAUACUGACGCUGAGGCGCGAAAGCGUGGGGAGCAAACAGG